CAUAUUAUACGAGCAUGCUACUCGCAAAGGGCAAAUGAUAUUAUGAAGUUAUCAGAUGACCUGAGGUUAAGGGGCACAGAUAGGUCAAAAACACAUCGCUAACCGAAGACGAUAAACCGUAGUGAAACAUCGUAACGUCAGUGUUGUCAGACGUAACUAUUACGCCAGUGAUAUCUGCAGAUAUGUGUGAUACGAUUAUUUCUCUACAUUGACGCUAAACGGGAUUUCGCCGUUUUCGAUAAAACUGUAUUUUAGUAUUGGUUUUUGUCUUUGGCAGAGGUUGCCGUAUUUGUUCUCGAAUCAAUAACGUUUUCCAGAUAUACGUAUUGUAUAAAGUGAAUUUUUUUUUUUUUUUUUUGUACAAAUCUUAACUCAACGUUUGUAUGACUUUUAGUUUUUAUUUUGAACAAAAAGCCGUUGAAGCCAUUGAACAUAAAAUUAAAAUAGAGAUCCGUGGGCGGUGUGCAAAGAGACCAUUCACUCAGAAAUGUGUUCGUCUGGGAAAGCAACAGUCUCGCGGGAUGUGUGACGGGUCGCCUUAUCUUGUUUGAACCACAGAUUGUCAACAUUCAUAAUAACAUCUUCCAGAAUAGAUCAAACCACUAAGAUGUAAGAAACCAUGCUGUGGUAACGGAUUCCUGCAACUGUCCCAGAAAAAAGUCACGUCAAAUUCAAAGCCGUUGCUAUAUUAGAAAAACCAUAUUUUUAAUUAUUUCAUAUUACUAUUAUAGAAGAAGUGUAAUAUGUUUUAUAUUUUAUUUGGUAUGACAUCUCUACAGAUUAUAGUAUUUAUUCGACCAAUGAAUAAUUUAGUUAAUGUUUAUUUUAUAAUGAGAUGAAAUCCACUCAGCUUGUUUUUAUUUCUAUACCUUAAAAUUAAUCUGAGACUAUUCCAUUAAGAGUAAAUAUUAAUGUUUAAAUGUUUAUACUUUAAUAUACUAGUACCAUUUCUAUUGCA